AAAAAAAUAAAAAUAGGGGGAAUUCAUGUGGAGGUCAGAGUGGAAGCAGGUGUGAGUGGGUCCAACAGAAGGAAACAUGGCUGCCAAAGUGUUUGAGUCCAUUGGCAAGUUCGGCCUGGCCUUGGCCGUUGCAGGAGGCGUGGUGAACUCUGCCUUGUAUAAUGUGGAUGCUGGGCACAGAGCUGUCAUCUUUGACCGAUUCCGUGGAGUGCAGGACAUUGUGGUAGGGGAAGGGACUCACUUUCUCAUCCCAUGGGUACAGAAACCAAUUAUCUUUGACUGCCGCUCUCGACCGCGUAACGUGCCAGUCAUCACUGGUAGCAAAGAUUUACAGAAUGUCAACAUCACGCUGUGCAUCCUCUUCCAGCCUGUGGCUAGCCAGCUCCCGCGCAUCUUCACCAGCAUCGGAGAGGACUACGACGAGCGCGUGCUGCCGUCCAUCACUACAGAGAUCCUCAAGUCAGUGGUGGCUCGCUUUGAUGCAGGGGAACUAAUCACCCAGAGAGAGCUGGUCUCCAGGCAGGUGAGCGAUGACCUUACGGAGCGAGCAGCAACCUUCGGGCUCAUCCUGGACGAUGUCUCCUUGACGCAUCUGACCUUUGGGAAGGAGUUCACAGAAGCGGUGGAAGCCAAACAGGUGGCUCAGCAGGAAGCAGAGAGGGCCAGAUUCGUGGUGGAAAAGGCUGAGCAGCAGAAAAAGGCAGCCAUCAUCUCUGCCGAGGGCGACUCCAAGGCAGCCGAGCUGAUCGCCAACUCGCUGGCCACCGCGGGGGACGGCCUGAUCGAGCUGCGCAAGCUGGGGGCCGCCGAGGACAUUGCGUACCAGCUGUCACGCUCUCGGAACAUCACCUACCUGCCGGCGGGGCAGUCCGUGCUCCUGCAGCUGCCCCAGUGAGGAGGACCCACCCUGCCUGCACCUCCUCAGGCCAGCGGGGCCACAGCCCUGCUGAUGCUUAACACCACCUCCUUCUGCCCCACCCAGAAAUCACUGUGAAAUCUCAUGAUUGGCUUACCGUGAAGGAAAUAAAAGUAAAAUCACUUCAGAUCUCUAA